rnacentral:rRNA from 1 species
CGGGUGAGUAAUAUAUAGUUAAUGUGCCUCGAAGACCGGGAUAGCCAUUGGAAACGAUGAUUAAUACUGGAUAUACCUAUCUAACAUAAGUUAGAUAGGGAAAUGUUUUUUCGCUUCGAGAUCAGACUAUAUCCCAUCAGUUAGUUGGUAGUGUAAGAGACUACCAAGGCAAUGACGGGUAGCGGGUUUGAGAGGAUGAUCCGCCACACUGGUACUGAGACACGGACCAG